AUUGAACGCUGGCGGCAGGCUUAACACAUGCAAGUCGAGCGGAGAUGAGGUGCUUGCACCUUAUCUUAGCGGCGGACGGGUGAGUAAUGCUUAGGAAUCUGCCUAUUAGUGGGGGACAACAUUCCGAAAGGAAUGCUAAUACCGCAUACGCCCUACGAGGGAAAGCAGGGGAUCUUCGGACCUUGCGCUAAUAGAUGAGCCUAAGUCGGAUUAGCUAGUUGGUGGGGUAAAGGCCUACCAAGGCGACGACCUGUAGCGGGUCUGAGAGGAUGAUCCGCCACACUGGGACUGAGACACGGCCCAGACUCCUACGGGAGGCAGCAGUGGGGAAUAUUGGACAAUGGGCGGAAGCCUGAUCCAGCCAUGCCGCGUGUGUGAAGAAGGCCUUUUGGUUGUAAAGCACUUUAAGCGAGGAGGAGGCUACCUGGAUUAAUACUCUAGGAUAGUGGACGUUACUCGCAGAAUAAGCACCGGCUAACUCUGUGCCAGCCGCCGCUGUAAAAC
rnacentral:rRNA from 1 species